UGCGCAGGUGGGCUUGUAAGUCAGUGGUGAAAUCUUGCCGCUUAACGGUAAAAUUGCCAUUGAUACUGCAAGUCUUGAGUAUGGUUGAGGUAGGUGGAAUGUGUUGUGUAGCGGUGAAGUGCAUAGAUAUGACACAGAACGCCGAUUGCGAAGGCAACUUACUAAGCCAUUACUGACGCUGAGGCACGAAAGCGUGGGGAGCGAACAGGAUUAGAUACCCUGGUAGUCC
rnacentral:rRNA from 1 species